rnacentral:rRNA from 1 species
CCGCAUGGUUUUGAUUUGAAAGGCGCUUUCGGGUGUCGCUGAUGGAUGGACCCGCGGUGCAUUAGCUAGUUGGUGAGGUAACGGCUCACCAAGGCCACGAUGCAUAGCCGACCUGAGAGGGUGAUCGGCCACAUUGGGACUGAGACACGGCCCAAACUCCUACGGGAGGCAGCAGUAGGGAAUCUUCGGCAAUGGACGAAAGUCUGACCGAGCAACGCCGCGUGAGUGAAGAAGGUUUUCGGAUCGUAAAACUCUGUUGUUAGAGAAGAACAAGGAUGAGAGUAACUGUUCAUCCCUUGACGGUAUCUAACCAGAAAGCCACGGCUAACUACGUGCCAGCAGCCGCGGUAAUACGUAGGUGGCAAGCGUGUCCGGAUUUAUUGGGCGUAAAGCGAGCGCAGGCGGUUUCUUAAGUCUGAUGUGAAAGCCCCCGGCUCAACCGGGGAGGGUCAUUGGAAACUGGGAGACUUGAGUGCAGAAAGGAGAGUGGAAUUCCAUGUGUAGCGGUGAAAUGCGUAGAUAUAUGGAGGAACACCAGUGGCGAAGGCGGCUCUCUGGUCUGUAACUGACGCUGAGGCUCGAAAGCGUGGGGAGCAAACAGGAUUAGAUACCCUGGUAGUCCACGCCGUAAACGAUGAGUGCUAAGUGUUGGAGGGUUUCCGCCCUUCAGUGCUGCAGCUAACGCAUUAAGCACUCCGCCUGGGGAGUACGACCGCAAGGUUGAAACUCAAAGGAAUUGACGGGGGCCCGCACAAGCGGUGGAGCAUGUGGUUUAAUUCGAAGCAACGCGAAGAACCUUACCAGGUCUUGACAUCCUUUGACCACUCUAGAGAUAGAGCUUCCCCUUCGGGGGCAAAGUGACAGGUGGUGCAUGGUUGUCGUCAGCUCGUGUCGUGAGAUGUUGGGUUAAGUCCCGCAACGAGCGCAACCCUUAUUGUUAGUUGCCAUCAUUCAGUUGGGCACUCUAGCAAGACUGCCGGUGACAAACCGGAGGAAGGUGGGGAUGACGUCAAAUCAUCAUGCCCCUUAUGACCUGGGCUACACACGUGCUACAAUGGGAAGUACAACGAGUUGCGAAGUCGCGAGGCUAAGCUAAUCUCUUAAAGCUUCUCUCAGUUCGGAUUGCAGGCUGCAACUCGCCUGCAUGAAGCCGGAAUCGCUAGUAAUCGCGGAUCAGCACGCC